rnacentral:rRNA from 1 species
UACAGAGGUGGCAAGCGUUGUUCGGAAUUACUGGGCGUAAAGGGCGCGUAGGCGGUCUUGUCAGUCCCUUGUGAAAUCCCCCGGGCUCAACCCGGGAACUGCGUCCGAUACUGGAAGGCUUGAAUCCGGGAGAGGGAUGUGGAAUUCCAGGUGUAGCGGUGAAAUGCGUAGAUAUCUGGAGGAACACCGGUGGCGAAGGCGGCUACCUGGCCCAAUACUGACGCUGAGGUGCGAAAGCGUGGGGAGCAAACAGG